GAAUUUCUAUUUUAUCAAGAGUGAUGGGCUCCUGAUUUUAUUGUUUUGCUUAUGCAUUUGAUAAUGACCAGCAUGAACUAGAACAGAGGUGAAGAUGAGCUGUAAACGUCUUUUGUUGAAGUUUCUUCUUGUUUUGCGGAGUAAGCAAAUAGAAUUGUAGCCGUAGUAAAAUUCAUAAAAAUUUGGUUUUUUUUUUUGGUGUUUUAUCGUCAAAGUACGGUGUGGGAGCGAUUUUCAGCUUCGAGUUUUAACGCUAAUACAGUACUGUACAUGUAAUGUAAUUUUGCUGGUUAUGCUCUCGUGUCCCUCCCCUCCCCUCCCCACUCCCUCACGCUCUAGCUAUUUCCCAGUGAUCUUUGCGAGUGUAGUUCGUUCCGCCAUGUUGGCACGUGUGCAAGAAAAAUAAUGGAAAGUCGAGUUUAUUGUAAUUUCAAAGGUUUUUUCUUUGUUUUUAAACGGCGUGAACCAGUGAUAUUACUUGAUCUGGGUCAUAAGCUAACUUUCUUCACUUUUUUGCUUGUCGGAACCAGGAGGUGGAAUGUGGAGACGUACUUGUUGUUGACAACCUCUGAGGCUAAGAUGAGAUUUUAACAGAAAACCGAGUGGUCCAUGGCCUCUGCAAUCAGCAUGUAGCGGUUAUCCAGAUCAGAUGCCAUCAGUGACAAAGUGGACCAAAGCAUGAAGCAGUUAUCUUUAGAAGGGUUGCAUAAUUUGUUUUGCAAUCCAGCUUUUGGGUGAACCAGGUCAACAAAGCUCUUGAAUAAGCCAAGUUGAACAUUGAGAAAUUGAAUUCAGUCAUGCAAUCUAUUCUGCCAUGGUUGAUUUGUACAAUGAAUAGACUGAAGAGCUCUCAAAUAACACUUUUUUAACAAUACUGUUUUGAAUUAAUUUUAAAUCAGAUAAUUGUUAAAAUAUUCUGUAGCCAUCUUCAAAAGUCCUACUCGGCCAACAGACUAGUUAACUGACUGAUCAUUUGCCUGAUUGAUUGACUGACUGAUUGACAGACUGAUGGACAGAGGAAUGGACGGACGUACUGACUGACUGACAGACUGACAGAUGGAUGGAAGAAUGGAAGUAAGCACUGACUAACCAACUGACUGACUGAAUGAUUAAUUGACUUAGACAUGGACUGACUGGUCAAUUGCCUGAUUGAUUGACUGACUGAUGGAUUGUCUAAUUUACUGACUGGCUGAUUAGCUAACUGACUGCCAGACAGGCUGACUGACUGGACUG